ACUUUAUACAACUUUCAGCAACGGAUCUCUUGGCUCUCCCAUCGAUGAAGAACGCAGCGAAAUGCGAUAAGUAAUGUGAAUUGCAGAAUUCAGUGAAUCAUCGAAUCUUUGAACGCACCUUGCGCCCUUUGGUAUUCCGAAGGGCAUGCCUGUUUGAGU
rnacentral:rRNA from 1 species